rnacentral:rRNA from 1 species
UACGUAGGGGGCAAGCGUUGUCCGGAAUCAUUGGGCGUAAAGAGCGUGUAGGCGGCUCGGUAAGUCCGCUGUGAAAGUCCAGGGCUCAACCCUGGAAUGCCGGUGGAAACUGUCGAGCUAGAGUCCGGAAGAGGCGAGUGGAAUUCCUGGUGUAGCGGUGAAAUGCGUAGAUAUCGGGAGGAACACCUGUGGCGAAAGCGGCUCACUGGACCAUAACUGACGCUGAUGCACGAAAGCUGGGGGAGCAAACAGG